ACACACACACACACACACACACACACACACACUCACACACUCACACACACCUAGUUGACAGCUGCUCUGUCCCCUGCAGAGAUCUCCUUCCCCACCUGGAUCCCGCCCCCUGGAAUCAAGAGCCAGAGUCUCUCUCACUUCUUUGAAAGAGUCCAUGACCUGCUCAGAAACUUCAAGUCUGCCUCGGCCCAGGACAACAUCCAGGACAUCAUACAGGAGGUGGAUAAUCUGCUGGAGACCCCGGGGGACCUGGAUACUCUGCCCCAUUCAGAGCAGCACUGUGUGGCCACUAACCUGCUGACUGGCCGGGAGGACGUCCUGAGAGAGCUGAGCAAGGCCUUGCCCAAUGGGCCACUGACCUUCAGGACAGCUGCAG